rnacentral:rRNA from 1 species
AUACGGAGGAUCCGAGCGUUAUCCGGAUUUAUUGGGUUUAAAGGGUGCGUAGGCGGAUUGGAAAGUCAGCGGUGAAAGUUUGCAGCUUAACUGUAAAAUUGCCAUUGAAACUGUCAGUCUUGAGUGCAAAUGAGGUAGGCGGAAUGUGUUGUGUAGCGGUGAAAUGCAUAGAUAUCACGCAGAACUCCGAUUGCGAAGGCAGCUUACUAAGCUACAACUGACACUGAAGCACGAAAGCGUGGGGAUC